rnacentral:tRNA from 1 species
AGCAGCAUGGCUUAGUGGAAAGAGCCUGGGCUUGCGAGUCAGAGGUCAUGGGUUUGAAUCCCAGCUCUGCCA